rnacentral:lncRNA from 1 species
UCUCUUAGUGACCUGCAUUACAUUCACUGUGAAAGGGAAAGACAGAGAGAUAACAUGCAUGCGUACUUCUCAGUGACGACAGUCAUUCUGGCUAACAGAUUGGCACAGCAGGUAUAUGUCAAACCAAUAUAAAGGGGAACUACAGAAUGCUAAAGAUAAUCACUGAAUUUAUCAGAGCAUUACAUCAUGGUCUUUUUUUUUUUCCUUUUUUUUUCCAGUCACGAACACAGCAAUAGCUUUGGCUUCAUUACUCAGCUCUGAAAUUAAAUGGGGCAAGAGAGAGACUCACUCUCUUCAAUAUAAAGGGAAAAGUAAACAUGUCUUUCUACCCUGAAAGCCUACUUGACCCAGUUCACGGCCAGCACCCAGAUAUGAGAGCAUGAUAGAAGAUAAAGGAGGGAGAAAUGAAGGUAGAAAGCAGGCCUACUAGGAAAGUCAAAACUCUUCUCUUUGGCCCUCUGGCAAUUGAGAAGAAACACAGCAUCAGCAUGAUAGACCUUCAGGCAGGCUGAAAAUGUCACAUCAACUGCGUCCACAACAGAUACAAUACAAUGAGUAACCACAGAAAACUGUCCUGCUAAGUCUAAUCCUGAUUGCGGUUGCUGUGGCACAAGCAUCUCCCAGAUAUCUUCCUUCUG